rnacentral:lncRNA from 1 species
GGGAUGGCAAUGAUUUGAUGGUAAAUCCAAAUCUUAACCUUUUUUUUUAUGGAACCCGAAUCUGACUCGAAAAAAUUCAAAAUAGCUGGAAUUAUCGCGUUCUAACACCGAAACACUGUCUCUCAGACCGAACCAGACUUGAAAUUCUCACUCAAAAGCGGGAGCAUUCAAUGAGCUGUUGCUCGCGAUCCGUCUCAAUAAAGAGAGCCAGAGAGGCACUGCGAGGACCACAAAAAUGAUCCCGAAUGUAGUACAGCUGUUCCCGUGCUCCAGAGUAAUUUUUUUAGCAAACAAUUCCGGUGUCGGCCGCAAGUAUCUUGGAUUGAUGGACGAUCAGAGAUUGAGAAACGGUGGAUAAAAGUACCCUGCUGAGGACUCUGCUGACGUUACUGCCCGUCAUUGGAUCAUGUAUGUCAAUGUAUGAUUGAUUGCACCGACACUAAUAAUAAUGUGACUCUUCUAUGCAUAUAAAUUACAAAAUUAAAAUCAGUUAUUUGUCUGCCAUGUUAUUUGUGAAAAUUAAGUAGUAUCUCCGGACAUCUGCAAUUAACAAAAGUUACUAAAUUUUGAGUUUUCACACAAAAUAUUGUCAAAAUUAUACACGAGAAACUAACGAUGCAAUGAAUAAGUUGCAACUCCAUGAAAAAGAAUACUAGCGAGGUGCUAAAGUUGUAAUGCUAUGGUUCGAUGAAGACAAACAAAGCAUGCUAUGGGAAGUAUCUGCUUCUUCAAGUUUCCUUUCAGUGAAAAAACCAGGUUGUUUCGGACGAGGCAGAGUAAUGUUACUUGUCAACAUCUUCAUUACUGAUGACAUGGUCGGUCUGUCCUCUGGAUAUUGUUGAACGCAUAGUAAUCCUAUUGCGAUAACUCGAAACACUUCAUCUUGGUCACUUGACUCUAGGAUUGAUGCAUCGAUGAGUUCUGAUAGCCUGUCUUCGUUAUAACUCUUCCAUGUCUGCACAAGUAGAUGUUCCCGGUAGUUAAUUAACCAGUACAUCUAAAACCUUAAAAUGUCGAUGAUACCAUAUGAAGUAACUAGUCUAUCUAAAACCGUAAGGUAUCUUAUAUUUUUCAAAGAGGCAUUUUAUUGUAAAGAAAGGUGCAAGGAAAAAAGUGCCACAAUUUAACUUACAUGGCCCAGAAGGUUAAGGUUGUGGUCCGGAUGAGUGAAGAAUCUGUUUUUCUUCCCAGUCACGAUCUCAAUCAUCAAUACACCAAAGCCGUAGACAUCGGAUUUAAUUGAAAAUGCUCCCUCAAUGGCGUACUCAGGGGACAUGUAUCCACUGCAAGUAGAACGAAGACAUCAUUUGAGUGUCGAGAAUACAGAAAAGGAAAUAAAAAUUAGUAUUGUUGUGGAAAGUCUUACUAUGUUCCGACCACCCUUGCCGUGUUUGAUUCAGUUUCGCCAUCUCCAAAACUUCUAGCCAUACCAAAAUCUGAGAUUUUGGGAUUCAGAUUAUAGUCAAGAAGGAUGUUGCUAGCUUUAAGAUCUCGAUGAAUAACUCUUAGUCUGGAGUCUUCGUGAAGGUAAAGUAGUCCCUUGGCAAUGCCGUUUAUUAUGUUGUAACGCUUAGGCCAAUCUAGUGAAGCUUUAUUUGCAUUAUCUGUCAUGUUUAGAUUGCCCUUGUGAAAAUGGUAACUAGGUACUCCAGAUAUUGGUUUCAAGAAGUCAAGAUAACUGUACCUCCAAAUAUAAAGUAAUCUAAGCUUUUGUUGGGCAUAUAUUCAUAGACUAACAUCCUUUCUCCUUCCUCAGUGGUGGACCAACCAAGCAGCCGGACCAGAUUGCGGU